rnacentral:pre_miRNA from 1 species
GUUAUACUCCCUCCAUCCAACAAAAGAUGUCUCAAGUUUGUCAAAAUUUGGAUGUAUCUAGACAUGACUUAGUAUAUAGAUGCAUUCAAAUUUGAUCAAACUUGAGACAUCUUUUGUUGGACGGAGGGAGUACUUA